AGAGUUUGAUCCUGGCUCAGAAUCAACGUUGGCGGCGCGCUUAACACAUGCAAGUCGAACGAGAAAGUGGAGCAAUCCAUGAGUAAAGUGGCAGACGGGUGAGUAACACGUGGGUAUCCACUCUUUGGUGGGGAAUAACUCUGGGAAACCGGAGCUAAUACCGCAUAAGUCCGAGAGGAGAAAGACGAAAGCCGUCGAAGAAGGAGCCCGCGGCUGAUUAGCUAGUUGGUGAGGUAAUGGCUCACCAAGGCGUAGAUCGGUAGCCGGCCUGAGAGGGCACACGGCCACACUGGCACUGAGACACGGGCCAGACUCCUACGGGAGGCAGCAGUGGGGAAUCUUGCACAAUGGGGGAAACCCUGAUGCAGCGACGCCGCGUGAGCGAUGAAGCCCUUCGGGGUGUAAAGCUCUUUCGGCAGGAACGAUUAUGACGGUACCUGAAGAAGAAGCUGCGGCUAACUACGUGCCAGCAGCCGCGGUAAUACGUAGGCAGCAAACGUUGUUCGGAGUUACUGGGCGUAAAGAGUACGUAGGCGGUUUGCCAAGUUUGGUGUGAAAUCUCCUGGCUUAACUGGGAGGGUGCGCCGAAUACUGGCGAGCUUGAGUGUUGGAGAGGGGAGCGGAAUUCCUGGUGUAGCGGUGAAAUGCGUAGAUAUCAGGAGGAACACCGGUGGUGUAGACGGCUCCCUGGACAACCACUGACGCUGAGGUACGAAA
rnacentral:rRNA from 1 species